rnacentral:rRNA from 1 species
AGUUAGCCGAUGCUUAUUCUUCAGGUACACGUCAUUUAUUCCUCCCUGAAAAAAGAGGUUUACAACCCAUAGGCCGUCAUCCCUCACGCGAGAUUGCCCCGUCAGGCUUUCGCCCAUUGCGGAAAAUUCCCUA